AUUGAACGCUGGCGGCAGGCCUAACACAUGCAAGUCGAGCGAGCGGCGGACGGGUGAGUAAUGUCUGGGAAACCGUCUGUUGGAGGGGGAUAACUACUGGAAACGGUAGCUAAUAUCGCACACCAUCAGAUGUGCGCAGAUGGGAUUAGCGAGUAGGUGGGGGAACGGCUAACCUAGGCGACGAUCCCUAGCCGGUCUGAGAGGAUGACCAGCCACACUGGUACUGGGACACGGCCCAGACGCCUACGGGAGGCAGCAGGGGGGAAUUUUGGGCAAUGGGCGCAAGCCUGAUGCAGCCAUGCCGCGUGUGUGAAGAAGGCCUUCGGGUUGUAAAGCACUUUCAGCGGGGAGGCGUUACCCGCAGAAGAAGCACCGGCUAACUCCGUGCCAGCAGCCGCGGUAAUUC
rnacentral:rRNA from 1 species